UACGUAGGGUGCAAGCGUUGUCCGGAAUUAUUGGGCGUAAAGGGCUCGUAGGCGGUCUGUCACGUCGGGAGUGAAAACUCAGGGCUUAACCCUGAGCCUGCUUCCGAUACGGGCAGACUAGAGGUAUGCAGGGGAGAACGGAAUUCCUGGUGUAGCGGUGAAAUGCGCAGAUAUCAGGAGGAACACCGGUGGCGAAGGCGGUUCUCUGGGCAUUACCUGACGCUGAGGAGCGAAAGCGUGGGGAGCGAACAGG
rnacentral:rRNA from 1 species